rnacentral:rRNA from 1 species
UACGGAGGGUGCGAGCGUUGUCCGGAAUCACUGGGCGUAAAGGGCGCGUAGGCGGCCUGAUAAGUAGGGAGUGAAAUCCUGAGGCUUAACCUCAGGGCUGCCUUCUAAACUGUCGGGCUCGAGCACAGUAGAGGCAGGUGGAAUUCCCGGUGUAGCGGUGGAAUGCGUAGAGAUCGGGAAGAACAUCAGUGGCGAAGGCGGCCUGCUGGGCUGUUGCUGACGCUGAGGCGCGACAGCGUGGGGAGCAAACAGG